UUCUUUUGGACCAGACAGCAUCAGAUAGAUGGGCUUCAUUACAGAGACAGAGGGGCGCUGUUUCACUUGCUCUGAUUCUUUUUCAUUGUACAUUUUUGGGGGAAGCCUGGCUUCCCUUGGCAUCAAUGAAUACAUGCCAUUUGUCACGGUCGUCCUCCUCGUCAUCUGAAGAGGAGAGGCGAGAUGGAUCGGAAGACCAAAAUGCGGCGUGGCUCAUUUUAGCUCCUGAAGGAGGAAUGCUGGGCACGAUGUCAUCCAAGCUCACCCAGACUUCCAUCACAAACCAAUUAAGAAUUCCUCCCCUGUUCCCGCUGCCAGCUCUCUGCUCCCACUCCCAGCUCCCUGUAGGAAUGAGAAGGAGCAGGAGCAGACCCGAAGCAGUCAUGCCUGGGAAAUAUAAUAAACCUCAAAUGUGUUAUUAGUGGCUGUCAUAAUGAAGAAAUUAAGAACAUCAGACCGCCGAACCCAAUGACACAACAGACUGGUGGAGCAGUUCUUAACAGGAUCACCGUGUCAGCAUACUGAUUAAGAAAGAAAGAGAGAUGAACACCCCAUCAUUCUUGUCAGAAGAAGAAUGUCUUUCCUUCAGCACCCAAACAAUAGUACUUUACAAAAUGUGUUUAUGCAUUUGUUAUACUGCAAUAAAGCUCAUAGAUUCUCA